AGGUUCAAAUGAUAAUCGUAAAAAUAUGUGCUUCCUAUACUCUUUUUGUAAUGAAAAAGGACCUAACAAUGUCCAUAAUAUUGUUGCUCGAGUCUGUAUUUGUUCCUAUUUGCGGCUAAUGCCUCUGAUAUUAUAAUUUGGGGUUUCUGGAAGAGAGCUAAAUGUAAUUUGUGAUGAUACAAAGCCUGCUAAUGUCUAGUCUACACUGAACUUGUCAAUUGUAACUUCCGCUCUGUUCAGAUUUUCCUUUUUCUUAAUAGGCGCUUGAUGUGGGAAAAAGAGUUCGACACAAGCUAUGUAGGCUUCAGUAAAGACGGUGCACAAUUGCUAGCGGAUAAUACCGACAUCAAACUUGUGUGAGUCGAUUAUUUAUCUGCUGCUGCCUAUGAUGAUCUGAUUUCUUCUCACAAUGUUUUUCUUGAAGGCAAGUAAGCAAAUCAAUCCAUCAAAUGUUAUAAUUUGUCUCGACAUCACUUAAUUAUUUUGAAAUUCUGUCAGGAGAUUAUCCUGGUCGAAGGUCUCAAGUUGGAUAACAUUGAAGCUGUAGCAUAUACUGUCAAUUGCUUGGCGCUGAGGGGUCUCCAGGAAGACGAAUACUUGUCAAGUAAUACACUCUUACAACUACAGCUCACAAGCCUUUUACUGGAGAUAGAUGCUGCAACAGAUACUUCUUGAAGCUUGUUUUAAGGAAUUGGCUUCAUGCAUAUAGGGGGAUUGUUAACUUUCAUGACUUAUCUCUCACCUUCUUAAAUAAAUUCAUGAAUGAUUACAUAGCAUUUAUGAACCUGAUUUUAAAUCUUUUGAUGCAAUAUUUAUAUUUUAAAUUCAUGAAUUAUUACAUAGCAUCUUUGAUAAUUUGAUAUCGUUGUUCACAACUGUGAUACUGCUAUUUGUGGUAGUGCUAC